rnacentral:rRNA from 1 species
UACGUAGGGCGCAAGCGUUGUCCGGAAUUAUUGGGCGUAAAGAGCUCGUAGGCGGCUUGUCACGUCGGGUGUGAAAGCCCGGGGCUUAACCCCGGGUCUGCAUUCGAUACGGGCAGGCUAGAGUGUGGUAGGGGAGGAUCGGAAUUCCUGGUGUAGCGGUGAAAUGCGCAGAUAUCAGGAAGAACACCGAUGGCGAAGGCAGUUCUCUGGGACGGUACUGACGCUGAGACGCGAAAAGCGUGGGGAGCGAACAGG